rnacentral:rRNA from 1 species
ACUCUAAGCGGUGGAUCACUCGGCUCAUGGGUCGAUGAAGAACGCAGCAAACUGUGCGUCAUCGUGUGAACUGCAGGACACAUGAACAUCGACAUUUUGAACGCAUAUCGCAGUCCAUGCUGUUAUGUACUUUAAUUAAUUUUAUAGUGCUGCUUGGACUACAUAUGGUUGAGGGUUGUAAGACUAUGCUAAUUAAGUUGCUUAUAAAUUUUUAUAAGCAUAUGGUAUAUUAUUGGAUAAAUAUAAUAAUUUUUAUUCAUAAUAUUAAAAAAUAAAUGAAAAACAUUAUCUCACAUUUGAAUGUGAAAAACGAAGAGAAAUAUUUUCUUUUUCAAUCAAAUAAUACUGAGAAAUGUCUAGCAUAAAAAAUUGAAAUAUUUUUCAUCUAGAAUUGUCUCUUAUUAAUGAUUCGGAAAUAGAAAAAUCUUGGUUAUGUUAUUAUUCUUCGUUGGUUCGUUAAAAAUGGAUAAAUAAAAACUUUGCAUACAAGAAUUAAUAAAAAUGUUAUAACGAAUUUAAUUAAAUGUUUUAUCAUUAUAUAUAAAGAAUUUAUGGCAAGAUAAAGUUAUAUACAACCUCAACUCAUAUGGGACUACCCCCUGAAUUUAAGCAUAUUAAUUAGGGGAGGAAAAGAAACUAACAAGGAUUUUCUUAGUAGCGGCGAGCGAAAAGAAAACAGUUCAGCACUAAGUCACUUUGUCUAUAUGGCAAAUGUGAGAUGCAGUGUAUGGAGCGUCAAUAUUCUAGUAUGAGAAAUUAACGAUUUAAGUCCUUCUUAAAUGAGGCCAUUUACCCAUAGAGGGUGCCAGGCCCGUAUAACGUUAAUGAUUACUAGAUGAUGUUUCCAAAGAGUCGUGUUGCUUGAUAGUGCAGCACUAAGUGGGUGGUAAACUCCAUCUAAAACUAAAUAUAACCAUGAGACCGAUAGUAAACAAGUACCGUGAGGGAAAGUUGAAAAGAACUCUGAAUAGAGAGUUAAACAGUACGUGAAACUGCUUAGAGGUUAAGCCCGAUGAACCUGAAUAUCCGUUAUGGAAAAUUCAUCAUUAAAAUUGUAAUAUUUAAAUAAUAUUAUGAGAAUAGUGUGCAUUUUUUCCAUAUAAGGACAUUGUAAUCUAUUAGCAUAUACCAAAUUUAUCAUAAAAUAUAACUUAUAGUUUAUUCCAAUUAAAUUGCUUGCAUUUUAACACAGAAUAAAUGUUAUUAAUUUGAUAAAGUGCUGAUAGAUUUAUAUGAUUACAGUGCGUUAAUUUUUCGGAAUUAUAUAAUGGCAUAAUUAUCAUUGAUUUUUGUGUUUAUUAUAUGCACUUGUAUGAUUAACAAUGCGAAAGAUUCAGGAUACCUUCGGGACCCGUCUUGAAACACGGACCAAGGAGUCUAACAUAUGUGCAAGUUAUUGGGAUAUAAACCUAAUAGCGUAAUUAACUUGACUAAUAAUGGGAUUAGUUUUUUAGCUAUUUAUAGCUAAUUAACACAAUCCCGGGGCGUUCUAUAUAGUUAUGUAUAAUGUAUAUUUAUAUUAUUUAUGCCUCUAACUGGAACGUACCUUGAGCAUAUAUGCUGUGACCCGAAAGAUGGUGAACUAUACUUGAUCAGGUUGAAGUCAGGGGAAACCCUGAUGGAAGACCGAAACAGUUCUGACGUGCAAAUCGAUUGUCAGAAUUGAGUAUAGGGGCGAAAGACCAAUCGAACCAUCUAGUAGCUGGUUCCUUCCGAAGUUUCCCUCAGGAUAGCUGGUGCAUUUUAAUAUUAUAUAAAAUAAUCUUAUCUGGUAAAGCGAAUGAUUAGAGGCCUUAGGGUCGAAACGAUCUUAACCUAUUCUCAAACUUUAAAUGGGUAAGAACCUUAACUUUCUUGAUAUGAAGUUCAAGGUUAUGAUAUAAUGUGCCCAGUGGGCCACUUUUGGUAAGCAGAACUGGCGCUGUGGGAUGAACCAAACGUAAUGUUACGGUGCCCAAAUUAACAACUCAUGCAGAUACCAUGAAAGGCGUUGGUUGCUUAAAACAGCAGGACGGUGAUCAUGGAAGUCGAAAUCCGCUAAGGAGUGUGUAACAACUCACCUGCCGAAGCAACUAGCCCUUAAAAUGGAUGGCGCUUAAGUUGUAUACCUAUACAUUACCGCUAAAGUAGAUGAUUUAUAUUACUUGUGAUAUAAAUUUUGAAACUUUAGUGAGUAGGAAGGUACAAUGGUAUGCGUAGAAGUGUUUGGCGUAAGCCUGCAUGGAGCUGCCAUUGGUACAGAUCUUGGUGGUAGUAGCAAAUAAUCGAAUGAGACCUUGGAGGACUGAAGUGGAGAAGGGUUUCGUGUGAACAGUGGUUGAUCACGAGUUAGUCGGUCCUAAGUUCAAGGCGAAAGCCGAAAAUUUUCAAGUAAAACAAAAAUGCCUAACUAUAUAAACAAAGCGAAUUAUAAUACACUUGAAUAAUUUUGAACGAAAGGGAAUACGGUUCCAAUUCCGUAACCUGUUGAGUAUCCGUUUGUUAUUAAAUAUGGGCCUCGUGCUCAUCCUGGCAACAGGAACGACCAUAAAGAAGCCGUCGAGAGAUAUCGGAAGAGUUUUCUUUUCUGUUUUAUAGCCGUACUACCAUGGAAGUCUUUCGCAGAGAGAUAUGGUAGAUGGGCUAGAAGAGCAUGACAUAUACUGUUGUGUCGAUAUUUUCUCCUCGGACCUUGAAAAUUUAUGGUGGGGACACGCAAACUUCUCAACAGGCCGUACCAAUAUCCGCAGCUGGUCUCCAAGGUGAAGAGUCUCUAGUCGAUAGAAUAAUGUAGGUAAGGGAAGUCGGCAAAUUAGAUCCGUAACUUCGGGAUAAGGAUUGGCUCUGAAGAUUGAGAUAGUCGGGCUUGAUUGGGAAACAAUAACA